UACGGGGGGGGCGAGCGUUGUUCGGAAUUACUGGGCGUAAAGGGCUCGUAGGCGGCCAACUAAGUCAGACGUGAAAUCCCUCGGCUUAACCGGGGAAUGGCACUUGAAACUACGAUGCUGGAGUAUGGCAGAGGGAGGUGGAAUUCCACGUGUAGCGGUGAAAUGCGUAGAGAUGUGGAGGAACACCGAUGGCGAAGGCAGCCUCCUGGGCCAAUACUGACGCUCAUGCACGAAAGCGUGGGGAGCAAACAGG
rnacentral:rRNA from 1 species